GGGUUGUGAGGUUAAGCGACUAAGCGUACACGGUGGAUGCCCUGGCAGUCAGAGGCGAUGAAGGACGUGCUAAUCUGCGAUAAGCGCCGGUAAGGUGAUAUGAACCGUUAUAACCGACGAUUUCCGAAUGGGGAAACCCAGUGUGACUCGUCACACUAUCAUUAACUGAAUCCAUAGGUUAAUGAGGCGAACCGGGGGAACUGAAACAUCUAAGUACCCCGAGGAAAAGAAAUCAACCGAGAUUCCCCCAGUAGCGGCGAGCGAACGGGGAGGAGCCCAGAGCCUGAAUCAGCAUGUGUGUUAGUGGAAGCGUCUGGAAAGGCGCGCGAUACAGGGUGACAGCCCCGUACACAAAAGCGCAUGUGCUGUGAGCUCGAUGAGUAGGGCGGGACACGUGGUAUCCUGUCUGAAUAUGGGGGGACCAUCCUCCAAGGCUAAAUACUCCUGACUGACCGAUAGUGAACCAGUACCGUGAGGGAAAGGCGAAAAGAACCCCGGCGAGGGGAGUGAAAAAGAACCUGAAACCGUGUACGUACAAGCAGUGGGAGCACCUUCGGGUGUGACUGCGUACCUUUUGUAUAAUGGGUCAGCGACUUAUAUUCUGUAGCAAGGUUAACCGAAUAGGGGAGCCGUAGGGAAACCGAGUCUUAACCGGGCGUUAAGUUGCAGGGUAUAGACCCGAAACCCGGUGAUCUAGCCAUGGGCAGGUUGAAGGUUGGGUAACACUAACUGGAGGACCGAACCGACUAAUGUUGAAAAAUUAGCGGAUGACCUGUGGCUGGGGGUGAAAGGCCAAUCAAACCGGGAGAUAGCUGGUUCUCCCCGAAAGCUAUUUAGGUAGCGCCUCGUGAAUUCAUCUCCGGGGGUAGAGCACUGUUUCGGCUAGGGGGCCAUCCCGGCUUACCAACCCGAUGCAAACUGCGAAUACCGGAGAAUGUUAUCACGGGAGACACACGGCGGGUGCUAACGUCCGUCGUGAAGAGGGAAACAACCCAGACCGCCAGCUAAGGUCCCAAAGUCAUGGUUAAGUGGGAAACGAUGUGGGAAGGCUCAGACAGCCAGGAUGUUGGCUUAGAAGCAGCCAUCAUUUAAAGAAAGCGUAAUAGCUCACUGGUCGAGUCGGCCUGCGCGGAAGAUGUAACGGGGCUAAACCAUGCACCGAAGCUGCGGCAGCGACACUGUGUGUUGUUGGGUAGGGGAGCGUUCUGUAAGCCUGUGAAGG
rnacentral:rRNA from 2 species